rnacentral:misc_RNA from 1 species
GUAUAGGUUUAUAGGCACAAAGGCCAUUGAUUACAUUCUACGACAUACAUUGGGGUAUAUGAAGAAACAUAGGCCUGGAAAUGUAAGGAGAGACAUAAAGUCAAUUCCUCGAACCUGAAAUGCAAGGGCAUUCAGAAAGAUUACCCAGGUCUACAAAAGGUGCACAGGUGGAGAUAUAAAGAUGACAAGUGUGCACAUGCUCCCUAGAGAGCCAGCAACAACUCAUCAGGUUUAUUUCAAUAAUGAUCCUUCCGCAGGUUCACCUACGGAAA